ensembl:lncRNA
AUUGUGUCUAUCCCGGACAUCGUAGACGAAAUCAGGUUUCUGAACAAGGCAAGCGGUACGUGCGUUGUUAUUCUUUAUAAUUGUUCGAUCCUAUGUAUGAUGUGUAUGUGUUUAAUACUUUUACUUCUUUUUUCACAAAGGGUCGAACACAGAAGUCCCGCGAGUCAGGUUUGAAAACCCCGUGCUGGGUAAGAUCUGUAAUAAUGAGAUGUUAUGUUUAAAAAGCGGUUUAAGAUGUUUUCUUACGUAUUGUGUUCGUUUGUUUACUGUUCAAGGCUUGUCAAAUCUUGUAGACAAGAUCGCUGCACCCGAGUUCAAAAAUAGUGCUGCGGUCUCCACUGAACUCGGUAUACCAACGAACUCUGGAAAGGCCAAGCGUAAAACAGUCGCUCAGGUCCACAGCGCGGGUGUCGCUACGUCUAAACGUAAACGAUCAAGAUCUCCCCCACGAUCGACAGAAGAGUCAUCUGUGAAUGAACCGAGCGCUAUAGACUCGUGUUUGAAUUGGAAUCAGGAGCUGUUAGAUUCGUGGGACGCAUGUGUAUUUACCCCGGUUCCCGGAGACGAUCUGCCUUCAAACCAAGAAGCAUUUGGUCGCGAGGCUACUGAUGUUAUAGACAAUAACAGAGACUCGGCGGAGGUGAUACGAACCGGGUUCAAGGCCGUCGAGGACCGUAUUGCUGGUUUUGAAAAGACUUUUGCCAGCGUCACCGAGCGUCUGGACAUUAUAGAGAAGAAUCAGCAAUUUUAUAAUCAAAGUCUUGUGGAAACUUUACAAAAACAUACCAUCACACAUAAAGAAAUCAUAGCAAACCAGAAGCGUCUUAUUGGGGACAUUCGUCGCGUUGAUCACAAUCAACACCUGACGGCGGAAUUGUUAAAACAGUUUGUACAGUUAGUUAAAAACAAGAAACUCGGGUGAGUUGUACAAUAAGUAUUUUAUAACCCCUGUGUGUGUGUGUGUGUGUGUGUGUGUGUGUGUGUGUGUGUGUGUGUGUGUGUGUGUGUGUGUGUGUGCGUUUAUUUGCUGGUGUGUAUCUGGUUUACGGUGUGUGAUUUUUACUAGUUUUUGUUUCAAUAAUAAAAAUGUCAAAGCGGUGUGGUGAAAACUCGUGUAAUCUGGGAGCAGCAAUUAAAUUUAGAAGAUGCGACGACGAUGAUCUGUGUACUUUUGAACAGCGUUGCACCACAGAGACGUUACAGGGUUUAAUUCGGACAAUGGAGGAUCUGAAUAGACAGCAGUCUACCACCGAUACUUUGUUGGACUUAUUAAACAUUGUUAGAUCAAUGGCUGAGGUUCAAACAGAGCCGCUGCCUAAUUCGUUUUCAGACAUCGGUUCAAAUUCGUUGUUAGUCAGCGAUUCAAAUUCACAGCAGGUGGGGUGCGGGUUGGAC